UUCGGAUUGGAGUCUGCAACCCGACUCCAUGAAGCUGGAUUCGCUAGUAAUCGCGCAUCAGCCACGGCGCGGUGAAUACGUUCCCGGGCCUUGUACACACCGCCCGUCAAGCCAUGGAAGCCGGGGGUGCCUGAAGUGCGCUGCCGCGAGGAGCGCCCUAGGGUAAAACCGGUGACUGGGGCUAAGUCGUAACAAGGUAUC
rnacentral:rRNA from 1 species